CAACUUCGUCCGCCGGACUCGGAAUGGCGCGAGAGCUUGCGAGGCGCCUCCGUGUGCCAAAAAUAGGCCGCGGGCACAGCCGCUCCCAAAAAUAACCGCCCGAAGGCCGGGGCGCCCAGUUCGUCCAGCGGAAAAACGCCACAAAAACAUGUGGGCUAUAGCCUUGGGGGGUGGCGCUGGCGAACUUCGUCCGCUGGGCUCGGAAUGGCGCGAGACUUUUCGAGGCGCCUCUGUGUGCCAAAAAUAAGCCGCGGGCACAGCCGCUCCCAAAAAUAACCGCCCGAAGGCCGGGGCGCCAAGCUCGACCAGCGGAAAAAGGCCACAAAAACGGGUGGGCUAUAGCCUUUGGGGGUGGGGCUGGCCAAUUUCGUCCGCCGGACUCGGAAUGGCGCGAGACUUUGCGAGGCACCUCCGUGUGCCAAAAAUAGGCCGUGGGCACAGCUGCGCCCAAAAAUAACCCCCCGAGGGCCGGGGCGCCAAGUUCGUCCAGCGGAAAAAGGCCACAAAAACGGGUGGGCUAUAGCCUUGGGUGGUGGGGCUGGCCAACUUCGUCCGCCGGACUCGGAAUGGCGCGAGACCUUGCGAGGUGCCUCCGUGUGCCAAAAAUAGGCAGUGGGCACAGACGUGCCUAAAAAUAACCGCCCGAAGGCCGGGACGCCAAGUUCGUCCAGCGGAAAAAGGCCACAAAAACGGGUGGGCUAUAGCCUUGGGGGGUGGGGCUGGCCCACUUCGUCCGCCUGACUCGGAAUGGCGCGAGACUUUGCGAGGCCCCUCCGUGUGCCAAAAAUAGGAAGCGGGCACAGCCGCGCACAAAAAUAACAGCUCGAAGGCCGGGGCGCCAAGUUCGUCCUGCGUAAAAAGGCCACAAAAAUGGGUGGGCUAUAGCCUUGGGGGGUGGGGCUGGCCAACUUCGUCCGCCGGACUCGGAAUGGCGCGAGACUUUGCGAGGUGCCUCCAUGUGCCAAAAAUAAGCCGCGGGCACAGCCGCACCCAAAAAUAACCCCCCGAAGGCCGGGGCGCCAAGUUCGUCCAGCGCAAAAAGCCCACAAAAACGGGUGGGCUAUAGCCUUGGGGGGUGGGGCUGGCCAACUUCGUCCGCCGGACUCGAAAUCGUGUGAGACUUUGCGAGGUGCCUCCGUGUGCCAAAAUUAGGCCGCGGGCACAGCCGCGCCCAAAAAUAACCGCCCGAAGGCCGAGACGCCAAGUUCGUCCAGCGGAAAAAGGCCAUAAAA
rnacentral:lncRNA from 1 species